UCCAAUGCUAUUUUCAUGCAAAAACUCAUUUAGUUUCAUACUUUAAAACCAUUAAAAUUCAUGAAAACAUUUUAUAAAACAUGUCUUUACCCUUCUAGAAGUUCCCGACAUCCGAAAUUCCACCGGACGGUAGGAAUUCCGAUACCGGAGUCUAGCCGGGUAUUACAUUCUCCCCUCCUUAAGAACAUUCAUCCCCGAAUGUUCCUCACUAGCACACAUAGCAUGGCAAAGAACAUAACACACAUACAAGGCACAUAAACACAUAGGGAUCUAACCUAAAAAGAGAUGAGGGUACUGCUGGAGCAUGGACUCCCGUGUCUCCCAAGUGCAUUCUUCCAAGUUGUGGUGGUUCCACAGGACUUUCACCAUCGGGAUUUCCUUGUUUCUUAACUUUCUGAUCUGGGUGUCUAUGAUCCGCACUGGCUGUUCAACAUAGGUGAGAUCCUCUUGGACCUCCACAUCAGGCUCAUUAAGUACCUUGCUCGGAUCUGACACGAACUUCCUCAACAU
rnacentral:lncRNA from 1 species